rnacentral:lncRNA from 1 species
CGAAGAGGAAUAAGAAGAUAUUCCCGAGGCUAAUACUUCGGAGGAUGAGGAUGACCAUGAAGUUGACGAUGAUGAGGAUGGUGAUGAUGAGUGAUGGCUUUGGAAGGACCUCCCCCUUUUGGAACUUGAUGCUAAAGGGGGAGUGAGCUCACCAUGGAUGUGUAAUCUUCUAGGAGUUUUCUAGUUUAUGGCUUGUGGACAUGUAAGAACUCUAUGUGUGGUGUGAUGAAUGGUGUGCCAAGUGAAUUUUUAAGUUUGUAAGACUUAUUUGUGAUUUGCUAUGUUACUAUGGAUUUAAAUCUCUAUUCAUUUGUGUUGAUCAUGGCUUGGUGUAUUGUUGAAUUUCCACUUUGUUGAAGUGCUACAUCUUGUCAUAUGCAUCACAUUGAUAUACAUAUCACACCUUUGCACCCCACAAAUGCAAGGAUAUAGGGGGAGCUCACUUAAC